rnacentral:lncRNA from 1 species
UUUUACUUCUCUAAAUCCAAUAAAAAUAGUAUCUCACACUAUUUUUUAUUUAUUUUCACUUUUAUAUUUAAAAUCCGGUAUGUUACAUUCCACCGCAAUCGCACCGGAACCAUUUAAAUGUACACCGUAACUUCAUGAUUUUCGAAGUUCGGUAUGUUACAUUCUUCCCUCCUUAAUAAGAGUUUCGUCCUCGAAACUCAAAUAAAUCCAACUCCAAUUUGCACCCCAACUCAAUUUACCGGGCAAUCGGGAACUUCAAUGCACUUUUGCAUCUCGGAGUGGCCUUUCUCUCAUUGGAACCAUCCAAGGGCCCACUACGGAAGAUGUGAGACCAAAUUCACGCACAUUUGCUAAGUGUAACUCCGAAAGUGCAUUACGGGUCUCCUCCGCCAUUCUUUGUGGUAGCGCAAGUCGAAACUCUACGACACUACGCGCUCCGACACCAUUCACCGCUUGGCAUGCAAGAAUUCUCAUUUGCAUCUACUUUCCCCACCUCAGGGUACUCCGAUUCGAUCACCAAC